rnacentral:misc_RNA from 1 species
UCCGAGUUGACCCCGGCAGUCUCCUGUGAGUCCCCAUCACCCCGAAGGGCAUGCUGGCAACACAGAACAAGGGUUGCGCUCGUUGCGGGACUUAACCCAACAUCUCACGACACGAGCUGACGACGGCCAUGCAGCACCUGUGCGAGCUCCCCUUGCGGGGUCGUCCCACUUUCAUGGUUCUACCACUUGCAUGUCAAGGCCAGGUAAGGUUCUUCGCGUUGCAUCGAAUUAAUCCGCAUGCUCCGCCGCUUGUGCGGGCCCCCGUCAAUUCCUUUGAGUUUUAGCCUUGCGGCCGUACUCCCCAGGCGGGGCGCUUAAUGCGUUAGCUACGGCACAGAAUCAACCAACGUGACCCCACACCUAGCGCCCACCGUUUACAGCAUGGACUAC